GACGAACGCUGGCGGCGUGCCUAACACAUGCAAGUCGAGCGGCUCUGUGUCUGACACUGAGCAUCCGGGGAAGUAGUGAACCGGAAGUUGAGUGUUGGACAUAGGAUAGCGGCGGACGGGUGAGUAACGCGUGGGCAACCUGCCUCACACAGGGGGAUAACACUGGGAAACUAGUGCUAAUACCGCAUAAGAUCACACCAUGGCAUCAUGGAGAGAUCAAAGGAGCAAUCCGGUGUGAGAUGGGCCCGCGUCCGAUUAGCUAGUUGGUGGGGUAACAGCCUACCAAGGCGACGAUCGGUAGCCGAACUGAGAGGUUGAUCGGCCACAUUGGGACUGAGACACGGCCCAGACUCCUACGGGAGGCAGCAGUGGGGAAUAUUGCGCAAUGGGGGGAACCCUGACGCAGCAACGCCGCGUGAAGGAUGAAGGUUUUCGGAUUGUAAACUUCUUUGAUGAGGGACGAACAAAAUGACGGUACCUCAAAACAGCCAC
rnacentral:rRNA from 1 species